UACGAAGGGUGCAAGCGUUACUCGGAAUUACUGGGCGUAAAGCGUGCGUAGGGGGUGAGUUAAGUCUGUCGGGAAAGCCCCGGGCUCAACCUGGGAAUGGCGAUGGAUACUGGCUCGCUAGAGUGCGGUAGAGGAGAGUGGAAUUCCCGGUGUAGCAGUGAAAUGCGUAGAGAUCGGGAGGAACAUCAGUUGCGAAGGCGGCUCUCUGGACCAGCACUGACACUGAGGCACGAAAGCGUGGGGAGCAAACAGG
rnacentral:rRNA from 1 species